rfam:Blastomyces dermatitidis ER-3 genomic scaffold supercont1.1, whole genome shotgun sequence.
GCUCCAGUGGUCCAAUGGUCAGGAUUCUUGCCUUCCAAGCAAGAGGUCCGUGUUCGAUUCACGGCUGGUGCA